GUGGGACGAGGGCCAGCAGGGAAUGUCAGGGCCACCCCUGACCUUCCUUGUGACUCUGCUGCAG
ensembl:miRNA